UACGUAGGGUGCGAGCGUUGUCCGGAAUUAUUGGGCGUAAAGGGCUUGUAGGCGGUUUGUCGCGUCUGCUGUGGAAAUCCGAGGCUCAACCUCGGACUUGCAGUGGGUACGGGCAGACUAGAGUGUGGUAGGGGAGACUGGAAUUCCUGGUGUAGCGGUGAAAUGCGCAGAUAUCAGGAGGAACACCGAUGGCGAAGGCAGGUCUCUGGGCCACUACUGACGCUGAGAAGCGAAAGCAUGGGGAGCGAACAGG
rnacentral:rRNA from 1 species